rnacentral:sRNA from 2 species
UAGGUGUCUCGUUAGGUGAGGCUCCAUCGCGAACAUAGGCCACUCAUCUGACGACAUCGAGAGAUGCCCAAGAUGAGGACAAAUCCUCCCGGCUUAAGGGUUGAUUCCAAGUGGCUUCCUACGUUUGGCGUAGGACACGUCGCGGUGUGUCAAAGCUCUUACGUGGACGCGCCAC